GUGCUGAUAAAAGAAGUUAGAAUGUUAACAGAACAACUUUAUAUGGAAAUGUAUAAAUCUGAUUUAAAAGCACCUUUGUACUGGACAAUGUUCGACCAUACAAAAACCUUUAAGGAAUGGAACUGUCAGUCGAUAACUAAAAAGUGUUUGGAACUAGUUCAGGUCAGCCAAAGAGAACGUUUUGCAAUUGAAAGUCUUGUUAAAAAAACAUGGAAAGCGGAAUUCGUUGGAAUAGGUCGCGAUUCACGUGGAAUUGAAGCCUUAAAUUAUAGGGACAUAAAAAUUCUUAAUGUAGAAAGAAUUGAAAACCCUUCAUUAGCAGAAAAUUAUUUCCAAUGCAGAGCAAGAAUGGUUUAUAAAGUCGGACAGUUUAAAAGGCAUCUUCCAAAACUCGAAGACAUACGAUGCUCAAGUUGACCCAUUUUAACUUCCCGUAAAGCCAACAACAUCUUAAAACGUGGAAUGAUCCAAAUGGUUAACGAACAUUAUUUAUUCCACGGUACAACCGUGAACCUGAUAAAUAAUAUAGCAAAUCAGGGUUUUGAUCACAGAUUGAGUAAUGGUAUGCUUGGACCAGGUAUUUAUGCAGCUGAAAGUCCGACUAAAUGUGAUCAAUGUACAGAUCCCAAAUGGCAGCGAGAUAAGAAGUCAGAAAAGAAAAUGAUUCUUACUAGAAUGCUUCUUGGAGAGAUUUUCGUGACGGACACACCGUAUUCAUUUCGAAGACCUCCAUGCAAAACCUGCAAGGAAGAUAAAUGUUGUGAAUCGUUACACAAUUCUCAAGGGAAUGGAUUUUAUGAUUCCGUAGUUGCUGAUGGACAGUGGAACUUUAGAGAAUUUAUUGUGUAUAAAAGUAGUCAGUGCUACCCAGAAUACAUUAUUACAUACCAAAGAAAAUAAAAACAGCAUAAUAAGAGUCGGAGGCCUAAGCAAGCAAUUAAAUCUGAUACCAUAACCAAAUUUUGGAAAAAAAACGAUGAAAACUGAACCACAAGCUGAUCAUAAAACCAGUUGGGGUAAAUUGGAAUCUAGAAAAAUGACAGAGAAAAAUAUCAAUAGUACGGGAUCGUAACAGUGUUUUCGUAAUUAUUAAGAAAAAACUCUUGCGGAAGCCACAUGUUGUACAAAAUAUAGUGUUAAGUUAUAAUCCACAAGUCCGUUCUCUUUCUUUUUGAAUAUGACCUAACGUCAUACUGUUAUCACGGUUUUUU